CUACGGGUGGCUGCAGUGAGGAAUAUUGCACAAUGGGGGGAACCCUGAUGCAGCAAUGCCGCGUGGAGGAUGACGCAUUUCGGUGUGUAAACUCCUUUUAUAUGUCAAGAAAAUGACGGUAGCAUAUGAAUAAGCACCGGCUAACUCCGUGCCAGCAGCCGCGGUAAUACGGAGGGUGCAAGCGUUACUCGGAAUCACUGGGCGUAAAGGACGCGUAGGCGGGUUGGAAAGUCAGGUGUGAAAUCCUACAGCUUAACUGUAGAACUGCACUUGAAACUUCUAAUCUAGAGUAUGGGAGGGGGAGAUGGAAUUAGUGGUGUAGGGGUAAAAUCCGUAGAUAUCACUAGGAAUACCGAAAGCGAAGGCGAUCUCCUGGAACAUUACUGACGCUAAGGCGUGAAAGCGUGGGGAGCAAACAGGAUUAGAUACCCCAGUAGUC
rnacentral:rRNA from 1 species